ensembl:lncRNA
UAUGUAGGAGAAACCUAAUUGGCUAUAACAUCUCUAUAGGUUCUUAUGCUACUAUUUUCCAGAGACCUGGUACUAAAUGACCUCCUUUGUGGAAAAAAGGCACAAGUUUCAUUCAUGAAAUUGUCUCAGGGUCCUGGGUGGCUUACAGGAGCUCCACUUGGUGCAUUUAAAUUCCAGACAGGCGGCAAGGAGAAAAGGGACUCUCUGCAUGGCCUCUGAUCCAGUGGUCCAGUUUUGCUUCUUCCACGGUAGCUGGAACCAAAGAGGGAGGCUUCCAAGAAGGAGUAAUAAGAAGCUGACAGUCCUGAAAGGAGCUGGGUCAGAAACUGACAAGAUAUGUGUUCCUCCAUGUUCUAUCCGCCAAGAUAAUCCAUAAGGCCAGCCCAAAUUCAAGGGAAGAACCUCUACCUCUUGAAGGAAUGUGGCUAGUGUAAUCCACCAUUCUAUGGCCUGCCUUGGAUGUUAGACCACUCUUCUUCCUUUAAACAUCAGCUUCCUUAUACUGCAUCCUUUCAGGAAAAACCCAUGAUAAUUCCAUAAUAGACCUAACUUCUCAAAGCAAAGAUUUCUAGGCAUGAAACACAAAAAAUUGCUAACACAAUCCACCUGCCUCCUUCUAGGCAAGGGAACUAAUAACAUUAGGCUUCUUAUGAAAAAGAAUCGUUCUUUUCUUUCUUUUUGGAAAUGAAAAAAUGGCAGCAAAGUGUCAAGAAAUUUAUUAUUUCAAUAACUUAUUCAGUUUUGGUCACACUCAUUUUUAAAAAUAUAAUGAGCUUCUAAUUCUCUGUUGUAGUUUGGUAUAGAUAUAAGAAAACAAAGCCUAAUGAUAUUUAUAAAGAUUUAUUUUGACGGCUUCAACCUCAGUUUUAUUCAAACGUAGUGAUCAUACCCCUUCAAAGGAGUAGAAAAAUCAGGACAAGAGUUGGCUCUCAUAUCCUUCUCCUCAUUGUUUAAGAAAAAAUAUGGGGAAGUGUUAGUAUAGAAAAUCAGUUCAAAGUAGCUCAAGCAAAAAGAGAACCUAUUGGUUCCUAAGCCUGGGAAAUUACGUGAGUCUGAUUUGAAGUGUAGCUGGAUAGGUGUUCAAGUAUUAUCAUCACUGCCCUUUUUUUGCCCUGUCCUUGGCUGCAGUUCUCAGUUACUUGGCUGCUUUCCCUCCUGCUGCCAAUGAACUUCCUCCAUGCAAUCAUAAAGAUAGUAGCCUGCAGCCACAUGUAAUUUUUGAAAGAUUAGCCACUCCCUAGAAAAAUAACUUCUCCUCCCAAUCUGAUAAGAAU